CUGGAAACCAAAAGUAGAUUUAUAUACCAGAAGAAAUAUUGAUAGACUAUUGUUACAACAGGAAGCACGAUAUAUUCAUUUGUUUGAAACGAUGUCCCCCAAGGGCUUGAAUGAACAUCAAGACUACAAUUCUUUUCUUUAAAAAACCACUAUAGAUGACCUUGGACUUUAAAUCCCUUCUCUGUUUACACCUUUAAGAAGGGAGGGCCUAUCCUCCUCCCCCACAGACACAUAUAUAAGACAAUGAUCUCACUCCCUAAUAGAAAACGCACAGAGAAACGCAAGAAAACUUGGAUUCAAUUAUCUAAGACGCAUGUCGAAAAAGAAACAUAAAAGAAUUAAAUGAUAUAGACUUCCAACAGAUUUAUAGUCCUCAAAAAACCGAGCUGAAGAAGGCGUUUACUCCGAAACAGGGCCCUGUCCUGGUCACCACUACUGAGUCGUACAUCUGAUUCACACUCCGGAUACUCCU